rnacentral:rRNA from 1 species
ACAGCAGCCGCCGCGGUAAAACGGAGGAUCCAAGCGUUAUCCGGAUUUAUUGGGUUUAAAGGGUGCGUAGGCGGCCUAUUAAGUCAGGGGUGAAAGACGGUAGCUCAACUAUCGCGGUGCCUUUGAUACUGAUAGGCUUGAAUGUACUUGAAGUGGGCGGAAUGUGACAAAUAGCGGUGAAAUGCAUAGAUAUGUCACAGAACACCGAUUGCGAAGGCAGCUCACUAAAGUAUGAUUGACGCUGAGGCACGAAAGCGUGGGGAUCAAACAGGAUUAGAUACCCCGGUAGUCCCUGUCUCUUAUAC